AGUCAAUAGAUACCCAGGUAGUCCACGCCGUAAACGAUGUCGACUUGGAGGUUGUGCCCUUGAGGCGUGGCUUCCGGAGCUAAACGCGUUAAGUCGACCGCCUGGGGAGUACGGCCGCAAGGUUAAAACUCAAAUGAAUUGACGGGGGCCCGCACAAGCGGUGGAGCAUGUGGUUUAAUUCGAUGCAACGCGAAGAACCUUACCUACUCUUGACAUCCAGAGAACUUAGCAGAGAUGCUUUGGUGCCUUCGGGAACUCUGAGACAGGUGCUGCAUGGCUGUCGUCAGCUCGUGUUGUGAAAUGUUGGGUUAAGUCCCGCAACGAGCGCAACCCUUAUCCUUUGUUGCCAGCGGUUAGGCCGGGAACUCAAAGGAGACUGCCAGUGAUAAACUGGAGGAAGGUGGGGAUGACGUCAAGUCAUCAUGGCCCUUACGAGUAGGGCUACACACGUGCUACAAUGGCGCAUACAAAGAGAAGCGACCUCGCGAGAGCAAGCGGACCUCAU
rnacentral:rRNA from 1 species